CCCAGUUAAAUUUGAUUUUCAGAGAAAUAAAUCAUUUUCAGUACAAGUAUGUCCCAUGUAAUCUUUGGGACAUACUUAUACUAAAAAAGAAAUCUAUUUAUUGUUUAUUGGAAAUUUAAAUGUGACUGGGUGUCCUGUAUU
rnacentral:miRNA from 1 species